CACCACAGGCUCCAAUUUCUCAGCUUUACCAUUUUCUUUAGGUAUGAUAAUGCCAUAUCCUCCUGCUUUUCUUUUAUAAAUAAUGUUUAUCUCACCUGGAACCAAACACAGAACAAUUUAACCCUCGUGUAAGUGAUUGCAAAUGCUUAGGUGCGAGAAAAAUUUAAAUGAGCAGCUUAAGUUCAUACCAGUCUCUUCAUUCCUGAAACCAUAGAAAUCAUGAUCAACAUUCUUUAGUUGCUCAAUAGCCUCAGAGACUGUCAAAGGUGGCAUGUCAAAAUAUUUUGUGCGAACAACCUGAAAAUCGGUUUACAAAGUGAGCCCAUCAUACAGAAUAUAUAAAAAUAUAAUGUCUACAUAUAUAUGGGAAGACCUAACCAUGACCAUGUAUAAAGUCACAUUCUUUAACUCAAAUCUAAACACCCAGAAACACAUGAAUGUUUCAUUAUGCUGAACUAUGAGCAACAAACUCCAUUUGAAAAUAAUUUUGGUACAACAAUUUCAUUAUUAUGCAGUAAAUAGAUGUUUGGGGUGAGAGAAUGCACAACUAUGAACAAAACACAAUCACCAAUACGGUGAAAGAGCAAAGCUCGUUUGUAGAUAUAACUUGAAUUUUGUCAACAGCAUCAGGAGUUAAUUAUAUGAAGCCAAUCACAUUAGCAGAUACCAAGUGAAGAUGCAUAUGGGAACACGAAAUCAACAUUAUUUUGACAAAGCAAAAGUUAGAUUUUAA
rnacentral:lncRNA from 1 species